CAGCCGCCGCGGUAAUACGAAGGGUGCAAGCGUUAAUCGGAAUUACUGGGCGUAAAGCGCGCGUAGGUGGUUCAUUAAGUUGGAUGUGAAAGCCCUGGGCUCAACCUGGGAACUGCAUCCAAAACUGGUGAGCUAGAGUACGGUAGAGGGUAGUGGAAUUUCCUGUGUAGCGGUGAAAUGCGUAGAUAUAGGAAGGAACACCAGUGGCGAAGGCGACUACCUGGACUGAUACUGACACUGAGGUGCGAAAGCGUGGGGAGCAAACAGGAUUAGAUACCCCCGUAGUCCCUGUCUCUUAUAC
rnacentral:rRNA from 1 species